rnacentral:rRNA from 1 species
CCUAGAAAAUAUCUAAGGUGUAACCUGCCCAGUGAUCUUUAAUUAAUAUAGGAUAAAAACUUAAAAACAAGAUUAAAAGGACGCGGUAACCUUGACCGUGAUAAUGUAGCAUAAUCACUCGCCAUUUAAUUGAUGGAUAGUAUGAAUGGUUGAACGAAUACUCCACUGUCUUAGAAAAAAUUAAUAAAAAUUGAAAUAAUAGUUAAGAUGCUAUUUUAAACUGUAAGACGAAAAGACCCUAUAGAGCUUAACUAUAAUCUUCUUAUAAAAAGAAAGGAAAACAAUCCUAAAGUUAAGAAGACUGGUAGUUUAGUUGGGGCGACUAUCUUCUAAAAUUAACGAAGAUAAGCAAUGUUAAUAAAAAACUUAUUGUAUAAUAAAAAAAUUUAACAAUUAUUAUAAUAGGCUAUAAUGACCCGUUUUUACUGAGUAAAAAGAGAAACGAUCAAUUAAUAAAAGCUACCUUAGGGAUAACAGGAUAAUUUUAUUUUAGAGUCCAUAUCGAAAAUAAAGUUUGUCACCUCUAUGUUGAAUUAAGAUAUCCUGAUAAUGCAGCAGUUAUCAAAGGUAGGUCUGUUCGACCUUUAAAAU